AGAGAGAAGCGAGGUUCUCGUUCUGAGGGACAGGCUUGAGAUCGGCUGAAGAGAGCGGGCCCAGGCUCUGUGAGGAGGCAAGGGAGGUGAGAACCUUGCUCUCAGAGGGUGACUCAAGUCAACACAGGGAACCCCUCUUUUCUACAGACACAGUGGGUCGCAGGAUCUGACAAGAGUCCAGGAGCUCCAGGGACUGUGAGGUGAGGCCUUGGUCUAAGGCAGUGUUUUCAGGUCACAGAGCAGAAAGGGCCCAGACAGUGCCAGGAGUCAAGGUUCUCAGGGGACAGGGAGAGCAAGAGGUCAAGAGCUGUGGGACACCACAGAGCAGCACUGAAGGAGAAGACCUGCCUGUGGGUCCCCAUCGCCCAAGUCCUGCCCACACUCCCACCUGCUACCCUGAUCAGAGUCAUCAUGCCUCGAGCUCCAAAGCGUCAGCGCUGCAUGCCUGAAGAAGAUCUUCAAUCCCAAACAUCAUGCACUAUCCUGUUGGGAGCAUCCUCACCUCCAAGACACUGUUUGGGCCUGAGGAGAAGGAGUCUGCAGUGACCCUGUCGUGGUAUUUUCCACAAGAAUUCUGAAAUGAAGCAAGCACAGGAAACUAAAGAAAGAAG
ensembl:lncRNA novel transcript